CCACAUGAUCCUGGGGGCAGAUGGAUAGCUGAUCUCUGAGUGACUACAGUGAACAAAGAAAGAAAGACUCCUGCCAAACCUUGUGGACAGUUUAGUCUCAUUUUAUGAUUUAUUAAAGUCAAGGAUAGCAAAGAAAGUAAUAUUUUUUAAGAUGCUUAAAAUAGAGUGUUAAAGUAGGGGAGAGGUUCUUAACCUAUUCCCUUCACUCUUGUGUGAGAGAAGCUAUCAUUUAAAACCCUGGCUCUUUUCAUACUUCAAUCCUACUGAUGUUUUUCUUUUCUUUGAGACGGAGUCAGGCUCGAGUGCAGUGGUGUGACCUCUUGGGUUCAAACGAUUCGCCUGCCUCAGCCUACUGAGUAGCUGGGAUUACAGCUGCAUAUCACCAUCCUUGGUUAAUUUUUGUGUUUUUUAGUAGAAAUUAGGUUUCAACAUGUUGGCCAGGGUGGUCUCAAACUUUUGACCUCAAGUGAUCUGCCUACCUCAGCCUCACAAAGUGCCGGGAUUACUGGCGUGAGCCACCAUGCCUGGCCCCUACUGACUUUAAAAAUAUGAAGUUGUAUGGUUGAAAAGUAACAGAUUUUUCUUCCAUUUUCUUCCUUUUCUCACUUUUCAGUCAGAUAAUUGGAAUGUUCCCUUUGUAAGGUUGGGAAGAAGGACGAUCAAGUGGGUAGCUAGCUCCUUGCACCUCUGUGGAAGAGCUAAACUUCCUCUGUGAAGAGCUUCACCACAGGGCCCUUGGCACUGGGGACAGAGUGGCACAUUUAUACCAAGCACCCACUUCCACUUUCUCUCUAACACUUGAAAACUUUCACAGUACUUUUUCACUAAGGCUACUGUCAAGUCUGAAAAAUAAAGACAUUGUUUCACUUAGAAGUUGUAUUACCUGUGGAUUAUUUAAACUCCCCUAAAUGACAUCUAGAUGAUAUAGUAAGAAAUUUGUUGUGUAGUGUACAGUCAACUCAGAUACAAAGAAUGUAAUGGCUUUAGUGAGCCAACUGUACUUGUAAAAUUAAAACUUAACCAACAUGUUGAAUCAGGCACAUAAAGUAUUGGCUAAAUUCAUUUGCUUCCUUAUAGACAUUACUUUAGAAAUUCCUCUUUAGUGUUUAAAUAAAUAAUAAUCUAAAGUAAAAAGCACAAACAGGAAAAUAGGCUUUACAGUUAAUUAUUUUCUUUUGAAGUUUUAUUCUUAUUGUUUUUACUCUCAAGAAGUGGCGAAGUAUCUUUAACUGGGUAAAAGUAGAUUGUCUUUACCAAACUGUAUAUUUGGGUUUUUGUGAAUUCCCAGUAUCUUUUGGGGUACAUACAUAGUGUGCCAACAUUUGAAAGUAAACAGAGAAAUGAAUUCUGCAUAUAAGUCUGGCUUUUUACGUUAGGUUAUGAUCAAGACAAGUUGAUUUGUUCCUGGACACAAGGUGAGCCCAUAUGCUACUAGGUUACCCCUCACCUUGCUAGACAGAUGCAGAUUUAUGAGGGCAAACCUUAUAGGAACAUCCUCUAUCAUUCCUCAGAUGAUAAGGCACUGGCUCCCAUAUUAAGUUUUAACAAUCUAGUGAGUGAAAAAUGAAAAACAGCGAGUAUCUCUGGAUUUAAUCACAGACACAUAAGAAAAGUAAAAUUAUCAUUCAACCUCAGGGAUAGUGGAUGAAGGCAGAAUCUUAGUCUUAUAAAUUUAAUUUAAUACAUGAAAUGCCUCCAAGAUUUGAGGCUUUGUGGGAUAAUAAGAAACAAUCACGGAAGACCUGCACUUUGAAUAAUCCAACGUCAAUUUUUGCUUUUUAUCUUACUCAAUCUCUCAGCAACAUUAGACAUGGUUGACCCCUUCCUAUUUCUUGAAGUAUUUUCUGUGCUUGGCUCCCAGGAUGCCAUACUUUCCUGAUUUUUUUCCCAUAUCAUUGGCUUCUACUCCUUUGUCUUUUGUUGAUUCAGUCUCAAUUCUCCAGCCUCUGAAGUUUAAAAUGCACCAGAACCAGUCCAUGGACUUAUUUAGCCUCACUCUUCCUACUGAUCUCCACACAACGCCAUGUGUAUGCUGAGGACUCUAAAAUAUUCCGUCUCUUCCUUGGUGUCCAGACUUGAAUAACUGCCUACCUGACAUUUCAACUUGCAUCUCAAACUUAACAUAACUCAAUUUUCCUCAAUAAAACUUUCCUCUCCAUUGUUAUCCAUGUUAGUAUAUGAGACCAUGAUUUGGGCAAAAAACUUGGAAAUAAAUCUUUAUUCCUUUUUUUCCCUCAUAUCCACCCAAUCCAUCAAAUUUUAUCAGCACUUCCCUUAAGAUAUUCUAUAAUUGUAUCAUUUGUUACUACCCUUGUCCAAAUCUACGUUUACUCUUGACCCCUUGCAAUCAAUUUUCUACACAGCAUCCAACAUGUUAUUCUUUAAAAUGUUAAAUAUUUUUCUUUGACACAUACACUAUUGCUGAAAAUCUUACAAUAGCUUCUCAUCACACUUAGAAUAAAACCACAGUGCUUUCUUCCUAAAAGGUUCGUAUUAUUUGAGCACUUGGUUCUCUCUCCAGUCUCAUCCUCUCAGUCCUGUGAACUGUCUCAAGCUACAGUGACCCCCACAGUGUUUUUUGGCAAGUCAGUCAUGCUCCUAUUGCUCUUCUUAAAUUUGCUUAUCUUUCUGCCUCAAAUGUUCUUCCUCAAGAUAGCCUCAUGGCUCACUCCCUCAAUUCCUUCAGUGUAUCUUCACAUUAAUCAUUCAAAGAGGGUCUCAAGUAAUGUAACCAAAUCUAUUCCACACUCUCCUUUAUCCCCUACCCUGCUCAAUUUUUCUUCAUGGUCACCAAAAACAAGUAAAAAAAUGAGACAAUGAUCUUCGAUACAUUGGACAUCAAACAAUAAAAAACAAUAAUUUCUGAAAGACUGGAGUCAAUCAAGGUGAUCUCUAAUUUUCCUCAGCUUAUUGAUUUAAAAAAAUA
rnacentral:lncRNA from 10 species